CCUCCUGUUUGUAGCCAAGUCAGACAGAAGUUUUGGUGAGCCCGGAGACCCACCACUUGAGAUUGGCAUCUGAGGUGGGAGCCAACCUUGUGGGCCUGAGCCCUUAACCUCCGGGGUCUGCACUAACUCAGGUUCAUGGCUGGAGGGAGCUUGCCUUGAGACUCAAAUGAGAUUUUGAACUUUAAACGAUCGAGUUGUUGCUGAAACAGGUUUCUAUUCGUCAUCAAAAGACCUUCAGGCAAUUAAUAAGAGACAUGAAUGAGAAUGAAAGUGAUGAUAUAAAGCAUGUUAAUAAGUGUAUAAAGGAAACAUGACUCACUGAGAAAAACAGGGUGUUACUCUGCCAUCCAGGCUGGAGUGCAGUGGCAUGAUUACAGUUCACUGCAGCCUCAACCUCCUGGGCUCAAAUGAUCCUCCCUUCUCAGCCGCCUGAGUAGCUAUGACUACAGGCAUGCACCACCAUGCCCAGCUAAUUAAAAAAAUUUAUGUAUAUAUAAAUCAUGUCUUAUUAUGUUGCUUGGGUUGGUCUCAAACCUCUGGACUCAAGCAAUGCUCCUGUCUCAGCCUCCCAAAGUGCCAGGAUUACAGGUAUGAGCCACCACACCCAGCCUAAUAUGUUAAAUUAUUCUGAAUUUUAACUCUUAUCACCAACGUGUAAAACAAUAAAAAUGUACAUUUACUUUAAUCGAACAUUACAAAAAACUAAUAUUUAUGUCUAUAUCUUGAUCUAUAUAUUAAACAAGUUAGUAUGAAAGUUAUCAAAAUCACAGUAGUAACAAAUUACUAAAGUACAUAAGCAGACAAUAGUCUCAUGAAGAAGUAUAAUUAGUAAACAAACAGGAAAAAUAUUUUUAACUUUGUGAUAUCCAAAAACUAAAGUAAAAAUAAGACUUUAACUUUGCUUAUAAAAUCAGCAAAAUUAAUUUAAACUUCUAGAGUAGUAAAACUCUAUGCUUUACAGGUAGACAAGGAGGAACAUUGGUUUUGGUGUUUGACAAAACAUUUUGGAUUUGAAUCCGAGAUCUCUCAAUUGCUAUGUGAUUUAAAAUAAAUUCUUAAUAUGCCUGAGCCUCUUAUUUUUUUCCUUUGUGCAAACCUGGGGAUAACAGUAUUUUUCUUUUGGGAUUGUAAAGAGGUGAAUAAAAUAAGGAUUAUUUAUGUUUUUUCUCCAUAAUCAUUACCAGUAUCUGACAUAUAGUUGACACUUGAUAUUUGUUAAACUAAUAAAUUUUUAAAAUGUAAUGUGUUGUUUGUUUCUUUGUUUGUUUUGAGAUAGGGUCUCACUAUGUCUUCUAGGCUGGUGCACAGUGGUGCUAUUAUGGUUCACUGCAGACUCAACCUUCUUCUAAAGAUUGAUGUCUGUGGCUACCAAGAUUCGUAUGUUGAAACCUACUCACCAAUGUGUUGGUAUUAAGAGGUGAAGCCACUGGGUGGUGAUUGGGUCAUUAGAGCAGAGCCCUAAUAAAUUAGAUUAUUGCCCUCCUGAAAGAGAACAUAGUGAGCUGCCUUGCCCCUUUUACCAUUGGAGGGUGCAGAGAGAAGGCACCAUCGAUCAACCAGUAAUUGAGCCCUUACCAGACACAGAUCUGCUGGUACCAUGAUCUUGGACUUUCCAGCCACCAGAACUGUGAGAAAUAAAUUUCUGUUGUUUGCAAGCCUCCUAGUUUAUUGUUGUCAUAAAUUUAUUUAAUAUAGUUGCUGCCUUGGCAUCAAUUUAUAGACCUGACAUAAGUUGCUUGAAACUUAGUUGUACCACAUCACCUUUGGCCUAGUUAAAACUUACCCUCCCAAUGUGGUUGUUUAAGAUACGCCUUCCUGGGCCGAGCGUGGUGGCUCACGCCUAUAAUCUCACCCAAGGCCGAGGUCAGGAGAUUGAGACCAUCCUGGCUAACAUGGUGAAACCCCAUCUCUACUAAAAACACACAAAAAAACAAAAAAUUAGCUGGGCAUGCUGGCGCGCACCUGUAGUCCUAGCUACUCGGGAGGCUGAGGCAGGAGAGUUGCUUGAACCUGGGAGGUGGAGGUUGCAGUGAGCUGAGAUCACACCACUGCACUCCAGCCAGGGAGACAGAGCAAGACUCUAUCUCAAAAAAAAAAAAAAAAAAAAAAAAGAUAUGCCUUUCUUAAUUUAUCAUCUCACUGAUCCAAAACCCAACACAUUCCACAGCUGCUGACAAUGGUAAAACCUAAUGGUCAAUACCAGAGUCAUGCAAACAAAUUAUCCUAGAAUGUGUUUUCCUUAAAUUGGCCAAUCCAUAACCCCAUUGGAAAACCUAAGAAAUAAUAUAUAAGAACCUUAAUAAAGGCGUAGCCCUGCAGGUUCUCUCUCUCUCUCUCUGUCUUUUCCCCUUUCUCUUUCUCUCUUUCUCUCUCCCUCUGUUCACCUGCUGGUUAAGUUUCUCUCACCUCCAGAUUUCCCACCAGCCCCUAUUUGUACCCCUAACCUCUCUUAGACUUGAGAAUAAUACAUUUCUUCCAUUAUAUGCAUUUUGGUUUCACUCCCUCAUUGUGUCUUACCUAACAGACCCACCGACCGUAACUCUCUACCCCAUCAGUGCUCUCUUAGAGGGUAGAUAUCUGGCUUAUGGUCACUCUCCAGAGAGACCUUAAGAUCAAAUUAGGCUCCCUCUCCCUCUCCCUCUCCCUCUCCCUCUCCCUCGCCCUCGCCCUCGCCCUCUCCCUGUCCCUCUCUUUCCAAGGUCUCCCUCUGAUGCCGAGCCGAAGCUGGACUGUGCUGCUGCCAUCUCGGCUCACUGCAACCUCCCUGCCUGAUUCUCCCGCCUCAGCCUGCCGAGU
rnacentral:lncRNA from 10 species